UUUUAUGGGUGGGCCAUGAUGGGGAGACCUUUGGGUCUGCCGGUUCCUACUUUCCGGUUCGCCAACCCCGUCAUGUGCCCGCCCACCCCA
rnacentral:antisense_RNA from 1 species